UUCCAGACGCGCCUCACCACAGAGACGAGGUGCUGUGUGUUCACAGACGGGCCGUGAAGGCAGACGGCGGAUGCAGGGAAGAUGGUGACAAGCGAGACGGGCAGUAAUGGAAGAGACGGGAACACAGCCUCCUUCUCUCUGCUGGGAAGGCUUUGGAAGGUACUUCAUG